UUGGGAAAUAUUCUCAGCAAAUGGGCUAACCUGGCAAAGUUAGAAAUGAUGACACAAUCGGAUUUGUAAACAUUACCUGAAGACAUGACAAAGGUUGAAAUUACAAAUAGUUUCAUUAUAAAAUAGAUACCAAAAGCACCCACAGCACUCUAGGACCCUCUUGCGUUUUUCCUGCUGCAGUCCUGGAAUCAGCCACUUCUCCAAUGAACCCAUGAGCCCUGGGUCCUUUACAGAACCAUGAUGAACUUAUUUUGGAUCUUCACCAUGAGAAUCUGGGGUGGUUUCUGAAGGUAAAACCCACAAUACCUUGGCUCAAGUCUGUGCCCACCAAGAGUCUCUUACUCUCAUACUAGUUCACAGCCAACUCCAGCAAUUUAUCAAAAUCGCCUGUGCUCCUAUCAGUUUAUGGCUCCAAUGGCUUCUGCUCCAGGUAAUCUGAUCUCAACUGAACCUCUCUAGCUACUCUGUCUCCCCAGAUUUUGAGAUGAUUAUUCAUAUUGCAACAUCAUUUAUUUGAUGAGUCCAUGAAAAGUCAUUUUCCAGGUCUUUCUUUUGCAAAGAGUGAUCACUUCUGAGAACUUUACAUGUUGGAGCUAAAACCAGAAAUAUCAUUAAUGAUUUUAUUUUAAAAACACAAGAACAUAAAAACUUUAAAGUAAUAUGUCUAAUAUAUCUCUGUCUGAAAGGGAGAGAAAGUAUAGAAAAUGAGAGAACUUCCUUUAAAGACUAAUACACUUUAAAGACUAAGACAUUUUAGGUUUAAUUAUGAUUAUUUAUAGCUAUUAUUAAGAGAUGAGUAUCUCAUAGAGUUAAUUUAUAAAAUAAAUAGAAGUAUAGCAACAGAAAUCUACAUAGUGUAAGUCAAAGACAACUUGGGUAGCUGAGAUAUAAUCAUACAAAGAACCAGUUUCCAUAUUUUAGCUCUUGCUGGUUUGAUGGACACAACAUAAGGUGGUCCCUAUAAUCCCCACCUCCUGGUGUCCAUGUAUAUUUGUAAUCCCCCCUUAGUGAAGGGAGAAUCUAUAACUUGAUUCUAACCAAUAUUAUAUGGCACAGGUGAUGGAAUAUAGUUUCUUUGAUUUUAUUACAUUAUAUAAGAAACUGUCUGAGCAGCCUGUGAGACUCUCUUAAUGAAAUUGAAGAAGCAAUGUCAUGUUCUGAACCACCUAUGUCUAGGGACAUAUUGCAGGAAACUGUGGGUAGUCUGUAGAACCCAAGGCAACAGUCUAUACAAAUAGUGAGGGCCCUGAGUCAUAGAGUACCAAGAAAAUGAAUUCUGCCGAAUAUCUCAUUUGGUUUGAAAGAGGAUUCUUCCCCAGUCAAGCCUCCAAAUGAGAACACACCCUGGCCAUCACAUUGACUGCAGUCUUGUGGAGCACUAUAUAGAGGACCCAGCUAAACUAUGUUCAGACUCUUAACCCACAGAAUCUGUGAGGUAAUAUGUAUUUUGUAGACCACUGAAUCCUGGCAGUUUCUUACGUGGCAGUAAAAACCCAAUGCAGAUGUCUAUGAGAAAAUUUUUUAAAAAAUAAAAUUUAAGGGACAUGAAAAUAAGAGAGAAAAAAUUGGUGAUUUAAUUAGAUCAUUAUAUUGAGAGAUUAUUGUUUAAUUCAAAGGAGACUGGAAACUUGUUGAAAUAUAUAUUGAAAUCUAUAGACUUCAAAAGGAAAUUUUAUUUUUAUGCUGUAGAAGACCCAGAUGCUUUAUGGAAUGAUUGUUUUAUUUGACACUGUAUAGUGGAAAGAGCAUUGCUACAGGUUCUGAAUAGAUAUGAUUUAUGAUAGUUUUUACUGUUGCUCCCACAUGUUUCCAGCUUUCUAACUGCACUUCUUGGUCUCCUUGUAAGUCAGAAAUGGAAUCAUGUGAUAAGCUCUGGGUUGACAUGGUUCAUUUUGUGCUGAAGCACUUACUUACUAUUUCAAGAUAUUCUUUCCCUCUAUUAUAAGAAAUGCAGAACUCCAGCUGCUCCAUCAGCCUGGAUUCUUAAAAAGCGGUGAUGAGCAGACCCCCACUAUCAGAUCAUCAUGGACAUAGAGCAUGAAAAAGAAAUACACUUUCAUCGUGUAAAGUCACUGAAAUUUUGGGGUUAUUUUUUGCUGCAGCUUAACUUACCAAUCCUUCCUUAUAAAUUGUUUACAUGUCCGACUCACAAUUUCCUAGCUAUGUGAAAUUUAGCUAACCACUCAAUGUCUUUAUUAUAUUUCCUUAGCUAUGCAAUAGGGGAAAUAAUAAUAUCUAGCUUUUAGGGUCAUUAAGACUAAAUGAGAUAAAAAAAAAUUAAGUGGAAUGGUGCAGUUCUUGGCAUAUGUAGUAACUGUUCAUUGCUGUUGUCACCAUUGUAAUCCACUGAUACCACUCUUUAUAUGUCUUGGCCUUGCCUCUGAGAUCUUGCUGACCAAGACAAGAAGGAAAAAGAUUCACAGAAUACAGAAUUCAUCCGGUAGAUCCAAAGUUGCCUACAAAGUAGUUCCUAAAGGUACUUUUAGCAUACAGUCCCUUUGUAUUCCAAGUGUCUGAUUUUUGUCUGAAUUCAUGAUUUGACUAUUGAAUUCCAAAGAAAGGAAUGUAUAUUUGUGUGUAUGUGUGUGUGUGUAUUUUUAUAUCUUUU